GAAAAUUAUAGAAAAAAUCAUAGAAACACAAGGUUGGAAAGGACCUAUAAGAUCAUCUAGUCUAACUAUCCUCCUGUCACCAAUACUACCCACUAAGCUACUAAAUCAUAUCUCGUAGCACCUUGUCCAGGCAGUUCUUGAACACCGUGAGGGUUGCUGACUCCACCACCUCCAUGGGCAGGCUGUUCCAGCACCUGACC